rnacentral:rRNA from 1 species
GCGGGACACGUGGUAUCCUGUCUGAAUAUGGGGGGACCAUCCUCCAAGGCUAAAUACUCCUGACUGACCGAUAGUGAACCAGUACCGUGAGGGAAAGGCGAAAAGAACCCCGGCGAGGGGAGUGAAAAAGAACCUGAAACCGUGUACGUACAAGCAGUGGGAGCCUCUUAAUGGGGUGACUGCGUACCUUUUGUAUAAUGGGUCAGCGACUUAUAUUCUGUAGCAAGGUUAACCGAAUAGGGGAGCCGAAGGGAAACCGAGUCUUAACUGGGCGUUAAGUUGCAGGGUAUAGACCCGAAACCCGGUGAUCUAGCCAUGGGCAGGUUGAAGGUUGGGUAACACUAACUGGAGGACCGAACCGACUAAUGUUGAAAAAUUAGCGGAUGACUUGUGGCUGGGGGUGAAAGGCCAAUCAAACCGGGAGAUAGCUGGUUCUCCCCGAAAGCUAUUUAGGUAGCGCCUCGUGAAUUCAUCUCCGGGGGUAGAGCACUGUUUCGGCAAGGGGGUCAUCCCGACUUACCAACCCGAUGCAAACUGCGAAUACCGGAGAAUGUUAUCACGGGAGACACACGGCGGGUGCUAACGUCCGUCGUGAAGAGGGAAACAACCCAGACCGCCAGCUAAGGUCCCAAAGUCAUGGUUAAGUGGGAAACGAUGUGGGAAGGCCCAGACAGCCAGGAUGUUGGCUUAGAAGCAGCCAUCAUUUAAAGAAAGCGUAAUAGCUCACUGGUCGAGUCGGCCUGCGCGGAAGAUGUAACGGGGCUAAACCAUGCACCGAAGCUGCGGCAGCGACACUAUGUGUUGUUGGGUAGGGGAGCGUUCUGUAAGCCUGUGAAGGUGUGCUGUGAGGCAUGCUGGAGGUAUCAGAAGUGCGAAUGCUGACAUAAGUAACGAUAAAGCGGGUGAAAAGCCCGCUCGCCGGAAGACCAAGGGUUCCUGUCCAACGUUAAUCGGGGCAGGGUGAGUCGACUCCUAAGGCGAGGCCGAAAGGCGUAGUCGAUGGGAAACAGGUUAAUAUUCCUGUACUUGGUGUUACUGCGAAGGGGGGACGGAGAAGGCUAUGUUGGCCGGGCGACGGUUGUCCCGGUUUAAGCGUGUAGGCUGGUUUUCCAGGCAAAUCCGGAAAACCAAGGCUGAGGCGUGAUGACGAGGCACUACGGUGCUGAAGUGACAAAUGCCCUGCUUCCAGGAAAAGCCUCUAAGCAUCAGGUAACAUCAAAUCGUACCCCAAACCGACACAGGUGGUCAGGUAGAGAAUACCAAGGCGCUUGAGAGAACUCGGGUGAAGGAACUAGGCAAAAUGGUGCCGUAACUUCGGGAGAAGGCACGCUGAUAUGUAGGUGAAGCGACUUGCUCGUGGAGCUGAAAUCAGUCGAAGAUACCAGCUGGCUGCAACUGUUUAUUAAAAACACAGCACUGUGCAAACACGAAAGUGGACGUAUACGGUGUGACGCCUGCCCGGUGCCGGAAGGUUAAUUGAUGGGGUUAGCGGUAACGCGAAGCUCUUGAUCGAAGCCCCGGUAAACGGCGGCCGUAACUAUAACGGUCCUAAGGUAGCGAAAUUCCUUGUCGGGUAAGUUCCGACCUGCACGAAUGGCGUAAUGAUGGCCAGGCUGUCUCCACCCGAGACUCAGUGAAAUUGAACUCGCUGUGAAGAUGCAGUGUACCCGCGGCAAGACGGAAAGACCCCGUGAACCUUUACUAUAGCUUGACACUGAACAUUGAGCCUUGAUGUGUAGGAUAGGUGGGAGGCUUUGAAGUGUGGACGCCAGUCUGCAUGGAGCCGACCUUGAAAUACCACCCUU